rnacentral:tRNA from 1 species
AGGGGCAUAGCUUAAGUUGUAGAGCACAUGCUUAGCAUGCAUGAGGUCCUGGGUUCAAUCCCCAGUACCUUCA